rnacentral:lncRNA from 1 species
GCAGCUGAGUGCCCUAUCAAGUGUCAGGACUGCAGGAGAUCACCAUAGCCGCGUGUGGCGAUGCUUUCACUCUGCCUAUCGGAGCAGGAUCUGACAUGCAAAGAAACAGAAGGACAAAGAUGUCAUUCAGCCAAAUGAUGUUCAGAACUCUUUUUUUGAAGAGCCCGUUCCAAAGUGACAUCACUGCCUCUGCCCAAAUCACUGCACACACUCAGCUCCUGUCCAUGAGGACACUAGUGUGGAUUCAUUAAGAAUUUUAAGCUAUGCAGUUGUGUUAAUAAUGUAACAGACACUGUAUGUAAAGCUUUUUAUAACAACAACAACAAUUAUUAUUAUUAUUUUUAUGUAGCAUUGUAAAUAAUGCCUGGUUUCUCAACAAGGUCUGACUGCCUUGAAGAAAAACACAACAAAACAACUAUAUGAAGAUAAUUAUGUGCUGCUUAUGUUAACACAUAAUUUAACAACAAUUGAAACUGUUAAAACACAGUUUCUAAAGUGUAUUGUAAAUAUGUUCCUGGGCAUUACAAGGGUCCUUGUGGACAAAAAUAAAUUAUUUAAAAAGUAUGUUAAUUAAUUGCACGUGUUAAUUAAUAUUACUCAGUACUUAAAUAUAUAUUUACACUGUAACAAGGACACCUUAAAGCAGUGUAAUCAAAACUACUAUUAUUUUAUAGUUAGAACAACCACAAAAAAUAUUAAUAUUAAUGUAUAUCAAAAAGCAUACUCGUACUCAGAUAAAUACAUGGAUGAAUACCAUCAACAUGGCAGGAUACACAGAGCUCGUGCGUCCAUCAUGAUGUAAUUCUUGUGCAAUAUGUGAUGCUCACAAAAAG